AGAGUAACAAUUGUUACAUCUAUCACAAAAAGCUGUGAGACUCCUUGGGCCCAUGUCUAAGCCCUAUAAAAAGGAGAGUGUUUGAAAUGCUGGUCAGAGUAUAGUGAAGAGGAAACAAGGAACCAGCUAAGGCAUUAGGAAGAACAGCAGUCCCUUCAGUGAACAGGUGAAGUCCUUUGUGGCUUCACAGAAAUCCAAUACAUAGGAAGAUUCUGAAUAUCCACCAGUGUCAUUGAGAGAGGAGCAUAUCUCAUUACAGAGAGGACAUUACAUGUCAGGGCUGGGCAAUGGCAUGCACUUUGAUGGUUCUAGUGAACCUGACCAAAAUUUAGGUUUAUUAAAGGUGGAAAAUGAUCACCUGGAAAGUGACUUGUCUUUUGGGGAUAUCCUAGAGAGUUGGUCAGCAAGAAAUCAAUCAUGACCCAUUCACUAGAAAAGCAGAACGCUGAUGCAGACUUCACUAAUGAGUAUACUAAAUUUCUGGCGAAGGAGGGACUGAUGAAAUAUUUAGAAAGCAUUUUCAAUGGGACUUCUAGUACUACAUGAUUGGGAAAAUGUCAUGCUUUGCAAAAGAGUAGCCGAGGAUCUGGUCCACUGUGGGACUACAAUAAAGUUGGCCAUGGCACCAAACAGACGCAGUCAGUGAUCUUAUAAGAAGACUCUCCCUGAAAGGUACAAAGCCAA